ensembl:lncRNA
CCCCAUGUCCCCAUGUGUCUCCAUGUUCCCCCAUGUCCCCAUAUCCCCCCAUGUCCCCACGUCACCCCACAUCACCCCCUGACCCCUUUGGUGGCCACAGAGCCCAUUUGGUGGCCGUGGGGACCCCUUUGGUGGCCACAGAGCCCCUUUGGUGGCCAUAGGGACCCCUUUGGUGGCCACAGAGCCCCUUUGGUGGCCAUAGGGACCCCUUUGGUGGCCACAGAGCCCCUUUGGUGGCCGUGGGGACCCCUUUGGUGGCCACAGAGCCCCUUUGGUGGCCAUAGGACCCCUUUGGUGGCCACAGAGCCCCUUUGGUGGCCGUGGGGACCCCUUUGGUGGCCACAGAGCCCAUUUGGUGGCCAUAGGACCCCUUUGGUGGCCCCACUCUAUGGGGCUGAGCACACCGCUAUGGGGUUGGGAACACCACCUUGGGGUUGGGGACACUGUGGGGCUGAGGACACCGCUAUGGGGCUGGGGACACCGCUAUGGUAUCGGGGACACUGCUAUGGGGCUGGGGAUAUCACUAUGGGGUUGGGGACGCUGUGGGGCUGAGGACACCGCUAUGGGGUCGGGGACACUCUAUGGGGCUGAGCACACUGCUAUGGGUCUGGGGACACCGCUAUGGGGCUGGGGACACUCUAUGGGGUCGGGGACACCGCUAUGGGGCUGGGGAUAUCACUAUGGGGUUGGGGACACUCUAUGGGGCUGAGGACACCGCUAUGGGGUUGGGGACAGCACUAUGGGGUCGGAGACACCGCUAUGGGGCUGAGCACACCGCUAUGGGGCUUGGGAUAUCACUAUGGGGUUGGGGACACUCUAUGGGGUUGGGGACACUGUGGGGCUGAGGACACCGCUAUGGGGCUGGGGACGCCGCUAUGGGGCUGGGGACACUCUGUGUGGGGCAGUGUUCUGUACUGGUCUAUACUGGUCUAUACUGGGAGGUGCCGCCCCCCCCCCCCCAGGUGGCGCUCUCAGUUCCUCUUUCCGACCCCCAAAGGGGAAAUGGGAGGAAAUGGGGGGGGGGGGGGCGCCAAUUUUGGGGUAAAAUCUCCGCUUUUUGGGGCUUUUUGGGCCCCCACUUUGGGGCGAAAAGCGGCCAUUUGGGGGCAGAAGUCCCCAAUUGGGGGCAAAAGACGCUCCUUUUUUGGGGUCAGAACGCUCCAUUUGGGGCAAAAGCUUUAAUUUUCGCUCACCGUUCCCCAAUUUGGGGCCAAAGGCGCCGAUUUUGGGGUGAAAUCUCCCGAUUUUGGGGCCGAAAGGUGGAUUUGGGGGCGGCAUUCCCCCAAUGUGGGGCCGAAUCCGCCCAUUUCGGGGCGAAAAAGAAGGAUUUUGGGGGCAAAACGGCCCCCAAUUCGGGGGGAAAUCCAUCGCUUUUGGGGUCCGUCGCCCCAAUUUGGGGCCAAACCUCCAAUUUUGGGCUCAGAGUGCCCCAAUUUGGGGCAAAAGUGCCCUUUUUUGGACAUUCUGCAUACAUUCGGGGCCAAAUCCCCCCAUUUUGGGGUGAAAUCUCCCAAUUUUGGGGUGAAAUCCCCCUAUUUUGGGGCCAAAUCCCCCAUUUUGGGGCAAAACCCCCCAUUUUGGGGGUCAGAAUUGGCGCCAUUUGGGGCCAAAAGGGCUCCAAUUUGGGGCCGUGCGGAAAUGGCGCCAAUUCCUCAGAACGUGAUUGGCCAACGGAGGGGGCGGGGCUUUUGGAGGGGGGGCGUGGCUACACGGUAGCCCCACCCCCCCGUGUGGGGGGGGGGGUCUUAAAGGGGCCGCGCCCCAAUAUUCAAUGGGGUCCCCAAAUCCCCCCCCGGAUUUUCGUGGUCCCCCAUUCGAAUUAAUUAAUUAAUUUCCUGGAAACUGAUCGGAUGGGAGGGGGGGGGUGGGGGAGGGAAGGGGGCGGAGCCAAUGGCGUUAAGCCCCGCCCCUUCCCCCCCCCCCCCCCCGUCCCCCUCCCAAAAUGAGCGAUUUCACAGAAAUCAGCAAAAAAAUGACGGCGGAUGGGAGGCUGAUGACGUCACCGCCGAGGGCUUCCCCCGCCGACGGCGUCACUGCUGUGGGUCCCCCCGCGCUGACGUCACGGAGGCGGUGGGGGAGGGGCGGCGCGCGGAGCGGCGGCGCUUCAGGAGGAGGCGGAGCUGC